rnacentral:lncRNA from 1 species
ACCUCAUGGUUCCUAGUCGGAUUUGCUAACCACUGCUCCAUGACAGGAACUCUGUACAGAAAUUUCCAUCUCACAUUAUCUACUAUCAUUCUCUUCAAUAUUGUGCAUUCUUCCUUUAACGUUAGGUUCAAAUGUCAUGAUAGUGGAAAGGGCAGAGGAUCUAUAGCCAGAAUUCUAAGGUCCAUGCCCUGCAUCUGCUUCUUCUUUAUCGUAUUAGUUAUUCAUUUAAAAAUCCUGAGCCUCAUUUUACUCUUCAUUUGGAACUUCUGUAGCAGUUUUUGUGAAUACAAAAUAUAAUUUUAAAAAUAAUUUCUAGGCUAUAAUGUACAAGUGCUAAAACAUGUAUAAACCUUCAGAAUUGAAUUAGUCACUUUUCUGCAACAUAACUGCAUCUAGGUGUCCUUUAGCAGUUUUCAUUAUUAUGGUUUUAAUCUCUUUUCCUCUCCCACUAAUAUGAAUUCCUAAAGAGGCCAAUGUGCUCUCAUUCAUCUUUGUAGGUCAGUGUAUAUACAGUAUGGCCCAAAAUGGGUAUGAGGAGAAUUAAGGACUAUAUGAGUUUAAAGGGAUAUUGUUAAGAUUAGUUCAGUCACAGCCAUAUUAUUAGAAGUCUAAAGUAGAUGUGAAUAUAAUUUUUAUAUCCAACUUUCAAGAUAUAAAUAAAAAAUGUAUAGUAAUUUACAAUUUGUAAUAAUGUAGGAAUAGGAACUACUAACCUGUUUACAGGGAUGUUUAAGAUGCGUAGGGAAGAAUGAGUAAGCAUAGAGUCAGUGUUAUAACACAGAGUAUCAUGUGCUCUUUUAAAUAAGUGUGAGAUUAAAUGUGUAUAAAAAGAAAGUAUGAACUUCACUCCUUCUCAAAUACCAAGAGAUGGGAUUUCUGAAAGGGAAUUGAAUGACCUGAGAAGUUUUAAUUUCUCCAUGAUGCUUUCUGCCUUUGAUCUGUUUCAGAGGAUGCUGAAGAUAAAGUCAUACAUAAGAAAAUCUUGGAGUUCAUUUUAGAAAGGUCUUAUAAUUUUCAAUUCUAUGCUCUUUCCACAUCUGUGACAUUUGAGUUAUUGUUUUAAUUUGUGUUUCCUUGAGGGCACUGGUCCAUGGGUGAUCCUGACAGAGGAAAUUUGUUUUCUGCAUGAUUUCUCUCUGGUUUUGGUGGAGUUGCUGAGCUGGGUGCCACUCCCAUACUGCUGGGCAUCUAUCCCAGUGCAGAUGCCCUGUGCUUCUCUUGGGGAUAGAUUUGCCAGCUGUCUUUUCAAUGAAGAAUGGAUUCCCUGUUGAAACUUUAGAUACUGCUCUUCCCACUCGCUUUCUCAUGGCCAUGGUGGCUGUCACUCCCAGUGCCUAAGUGCAGCAGCCACUCCCAGUGGUUCUCCUAGACUGAUGCCCCGGAUAAGAACUGUUCACCUCCUUAAGGACAGGUUUACUGUCCUGCACCUCCAGACUGACUGAGGACUUAAUCCUUGGUUUCCCAGUACUAUCUGUAAAGAGCUCCUAUAGAGAUCAUGGCUGCAGCCUCAGUCUGCCUGCUUUCUGCUUAUUUUAGCUGCCUGUUAACCCUGCCUGAGUGCUGUCUAAUCAAUAACGGAAGGAUUUCAAAGGGCUCUCCUUCUAUGGCUCUCUUUGACCUUGUUCUUGUUCAUCUUGUUCUGUCGAUUUCCACCCCUGGAUCCUCCAAACUCAGUGUGUUGCUGGGAUCCAGAACUUCUGCCGAGUGCUGGGUACUUAUUCCUUCCCCAAAAGUGCUGGAUGACUCAGCCUGGGUGUUGGUCUAUACCUGCAUUGAAACCAGCAGAUAUCCCACAAUGUUUCUGGCACUUCGAUGCCCCUUAGAACUUGUUUCCAAGACAGAUGCAAAGUCCAUCUAUUGUAUUGUUUACAGAAUUGGUGACAAGAACAUGACAGAUAAUCAAGAGUUUGUCCUCAAGCCUCCAUCUCUUCUUCAUAAACAAAUCUUGGCCUUUAAAAAAUUGAAAACUCCUGCUUGCAUCUUGUUUCUUUUCUAUAUGUUUGGAAAGAUUGCCUUUGACAGCAUCCUGCUCUCAUGAUGCAUUUGCACCUUAACUACUUCAGAAACUGUCCAGUUACUCCAUAGGUCCUUUAAUAAGCUAACUGAACCCUCCCUUGUGAUUGUAACACUGAAAACUCAGCUGGAACUUCACUGUGCCCACACUCACAAUAAACACGACCAACUGCUUUUGUGUGGUGUGUUCUUUUGCAUAUACCAGCUUGAACAAGCCCUACGAUAUUAUGUCACAUGUUCUUUAAUUUACUUGAUAUAAGCAAGGCUACUUGCUUUCAAUUUCUUGUUCCUUUAAAGUAUAUAUCAGAAGGAAAUUCUUUCUUUUAAAUUGUCGUAAAAAUAGAAAGCGAGCUUAAGAUUACAAUUGGAGGUAUCUCUGGUUUCUUAACAAUAGAAACUGUAGUUCCACAUACAGAAACUAUACAUAUGGAUGUAAGAUUUUUUUUUUUUUCACCAUCGAAGGAUUUUUUUUUCCUUAUGUAGGAAUACUCUUUUUAUAAUUUUUUUGACCUUCUCCCCUGGUGCUGCUUUUAGAAAAAUUAAUGAGAUAUGGUCUGGAAAUCAUUUUGUGCUCCUUAGAGGGAUGCUAUGCAAAUUUAAGGAAAUAGUAUGAGGACUCAUUAUAUUAAGAGUCAGGUAAUUAUUUGAAGGACUGGGAAACUUAACUUUAAGUUGUGAUUGAAGUAUUUGUUGAAAUUUUGAAAUGAUUGAAGUCCAAUUCUAAAUGAGAAUCAUCACUGUUGUCAAUAGUCUUUGAAAGAGCCAUCAAACAAUAUUUCUUGUGCUGUGUUGAGUGUCUUGGAAACCUAAUCAUAGUCAUUGUCCCACAGGAGAAAAUAUAAAAUAGUUUGCUUUAGGCAUUAUUGAAGCAUUUCUGUGCAGAUACUUUAUUUUACUUUACAAUUCACAGAGGUGUUUUACUACAAUGCACAGUCCACAGCCCACUUAACUAGCUUUUCAGUGUCAUAAACCUAAGGUUAUGUUAGGUUAAUUUUCCUCUUUGUCCACCUGAUCUGCCAGCCUUUUUUUCCCCUUAAAACUGACAGCAAGAUGACUGAUUACACACAAGUACAAUACCCCUUUUUGAAUGCAUGACCUUUUCUGGAAUCAAGUUAGAAAUUCAGAGGACAUGAAGAAACCAUUGUAAAUUAAUAAAGAAAAAUAGUUCCAACACCCACUGACCAGUUGGGCAGAUCAUCACCAUAUUCUCUUGUGCCUUGAAAUCAUUCACAAUGGAUAUUCUUUCAAUUAUAGAGAAAAUUAACUACCUCCAAGAACCAAAUUAAGAAGUCUAGUGCAAUGAGCUGGGAAGCUCUUUAUGAAUGGUAUCACCACCUGAUGAGCAACAAUUUCACAUGUAAUUAUAAUGGUGUAUAAUUUAUCACUCUCCCUCACUUCUUUCAAAUCAUGCCGCACUGUUAGGGUUUCUAGCUGAGGGAGUUACAUGCUGGGACAAAGGUCUGCCUAAGACAGUUUAUCACAUCUCUGUGAUAUCGACAAUGGCACUACAACAAACGGCACUAGCUUUAACUUUAAGAAGAAGUUAUAGCAGAAUUUUUCAACCAAAGCUCCCAGCCUGUCAUUUUUAUUAAUACCCAACUUCAUGAUAGUCUAUGGGUCUAGCAAGUAAGGCAGAACAGAGUAGGUGGAGAAUGUUUCUUACCUUCUCUUCCACUUACGCUGAUCAAUAAGGUGUCUUUCUUCGUGGUCAAACGCUUUACACUGGGACAAUUUGAAUCUUGGUGGAGUAGGGGAGUCAGAGAAAAUGCAGGAGAAGAAGUCAGAACAAUUAGCUUUAAUAAGUAUGGCUUGUAGGACUAACCAAAUCUAUGAUCCUCCUUAUAGGAAAGGCAGUUUGCCUAUAAGUUUCUAGACUGUAAGUUUCUAUAAGUUUCUAGACUACUCUCACCAUAAGGAGGAAUCUUAAGGAAUCAAAUCUGGAUUAUUUUCUAGAAGAGUUUGAAUACCUCUGGCAUGUAUUUUGAGACAUGAAACAUGAAAUGGCAAUAAUUCUGAAAAAGAGAUGUGUACAGAUAUUUGUUAAAAGUGUCACAGCCUUUGCCUCCAUCCAUCACUCUGCAUUAUUGUUUGGACCAUCCUCUAUCAGAUUGUUUUUUAUUCUUGAAAUAGAAAAGUGUGUCUCACAAUUCAGAGGAGUUAUGUAUAGAAGUGGUAAAAUCAUUUUAAAAAUUAAACAUGCAUUUCUGUUUUAAAAUACGGUAACUUUUUUAGACUAUAAUUCAAUAAUCAUAUGUCAAUAUAUUGAAAAAAAUUGUAUUUUAAGACAAAGGCCAGCAUAAUAUUUAAGAAGAAACAUUAAACACUUUAAAAUUCAGGAAAGAUAUAAAAUGUCCAAUAGUAACAUAAUUAUUUAAGAUUUUACAGGAAAUACUGAAACUAAAAGACUUUGCAAUCAGAAAAGAAAAAGAAAUAAUAUAUAAAUUAGAAGAAAAGAGAAGGGAAAAAACCUGAUUUUUUGCAGAUUAUGUAGUUGCAAGGAUUUUUCCUUUACAAAAGAAUUAUCCUUCAAGAUAUCUGAGUCUUACACGUUUCUGGGGGUUAGUGUCCACACCAAAUGAGUUAAGUAAUGUAAGUGACAGGUUUUAUAGGGCCUUAGGAUGCUGAGGCAUUUAUUCUAACUCACACUUUCAGUCGGGUUAAUGGACUGAAAAUUCUUCUCUGGACGGUAGCAAGAAAGCUUUCUAGGUGUGAAGUCACUGUGUCACUGUAUACCCAGCUCCCUGAUACUCAGCACUAAACGGACUCUCUGUAUGUCAGGCAUCACACAUUCUAUCUAUCUGAUCAGUUAUCUUGCCGCACUCAUCACUGACUCCUCUUUGCUCCCUGGAGCCUUUAUGUACUCUUUCUGCUGCUAGUGACCUUUCAUUCUCCCCCAGUCCAUCCCUUAUUUAGAAUUUCUCAUGUUAUCACUUCUCCAAGGACCCAUUCCUUAAUUCCUCAAACCAAAGAAGGUGCUACAGUUAAAAUCUUCAUAGUGUUAUGUAGUUCUCCUUCAUAACAAUUAUCUGAAUUCAAUUAUAGUGUAAUUGAUUAUCCAUUAUCUGUCUCCCUUCCUGUCUACACUCUCCAUUUUCAUGCAUUCAAGAUAAGUAUUGGUCACUAUUGAAAAUCCAGACUUUGACCAUCACCUUUAUUAUCAGAGACGUAUUUGGUAAAUUGAAGCUUUCUGUUACUAAAGACCUCUUAUUUGUAGAAACCUAGUAUUCCCUCAAAAGUAAAAAAAUUGCUCUAAAUAAUUUCCUUGUCUGUAAUCAAAAAGUAACACUUUGAUUCAUGUAAACAAGUCUGUUUUUUAUUCACAAAGUAAGCUUCUAAAUUUUUGAAGACAGUCUUGUGCCCUCAGUAUUUUCUCUUCUUACCGAACAUCAUCCACUCAUUCUUAAGAAAAGGAUUGACUAUAUAUAUUCUUGGACCGGGUAUGAAGUCCAGGGCUUUUCCUCACUCCUUAAGUGACACUGCAGUUUCCAGGGCUUUCAUCUCAAUGCCCAUGUAGAAAAGCUUUCAGAGCACUACUUUUCGACUCCUUUUCAUCUAGGCCAUUUUUCCAGUGCCACUGUUUUUUUCUCUUCCUCAGUCUGCACUUUAUCUUGUUUUUGGAAUUGGAGAAACUCACUCUUCAGUGUGCCUCUUGAUCUCUCUAUCUUAGUAUUCCCCAAAUCCAAUUCUGUUUCCCCAGGGCAUAUCUGAUGUUUAUUAGUGGGCAGAUGGUUGUGAUAAUAAAAAGACUCUGAGGGUUCACUUGCAAAAAUUAUGUAAAUUAUGGAUGUGGGAUGAAGUAUAAAACAAAUGUAUUACUACUUAGAAAUAUGUUCUCACGCUUUAGUCCCCAAAGGAGGGUGAAAAAAUCAUUGGAAGCUGUACUGAAAUAUGAUAUUCAAGAAGGUGUCUUCUUGGAGUUGCCGUCAUGGCGCAGUGGUUAACAAGUCUGACUAGGAACCAUGAGGUUGCAGGUUCAGUCCCUGGCCUCGCUCAGUGGGUUAAGGAUCUGGCGUUGCCGUAACCUGUGGUGUGGGUUGCAGACACGGCUUGGAUCCUGUGUUGCUGCGGCUCUGGCAUAGGCCUACAGCUAUAGCUCUGAUUCAACCCCUAGCCUGGGAACCUCUAUAUGCUGUGGGAGCGUUCUUAGAAAAGGCAAAAAG